GAUGAAGAACGCAGCGAAAUGCGAUAAGUAAUGCGAAUUGCAGAAUUCAGUGAGUCAUCGAAUCUUUGAACGCACAUUGCGCCCUGUGGUAUUCCGCAGGGCAUGCCUGUUCGAGCGUCAUUUCAACCCUCAAGCCCCGCUUGGUGUUGGGCCCCGCCCGCUGUGGCCGGCCCUAAAGACAGUGGCGGCGCCGCCUGGCCCUCAGCGUAGUACAUCUCUCGCUCCAGGGUCCGGUGGCCGCCUGCCAGAACCCCCCAACUCUGUGGUUGACCUCGGAUCAGGUAGGACUACCCGCUGAACUUAAGCAUAUCAAUAAGCGGAGGA
rnacentral:misc_RNA from 1 species